GAUGAAGAACGCAGCGAAAUGCGAUAAGUAAUGUGAAUUGCAGAAUUCAGUGAAUCAUCGAAUCUUUGAACGCACAUUGCGCCCCCUGGUAUUCCGGGGGGCAUGCCUGUCCGAGCGUCAUUACAACCCUCAAGCUCAGCUUGGUGUUGGGCCCCGCCGCCCCGGCGGGCCCUAAAGUCAGUGGCGGUGCCGUCCGGCUCCGAGCGUAGUAAUUCUUCUCGCUCUGGAGGUCCGGUCGUGUGCUCGCCAGCAACCCCCAAUUUUUUUCAGGUUGACCUCGGAUCAGGUAGGGAUACCCGCUGAACUUAAGCAUAUCAAUAAGCGGGGA
rnacentral:misc_RNA from 1 species